rnacentral:rRNA from 1 species
GACGAACGCUGGCGGCGUGCUUAACACAUGCAAGUCGAACGGAAAGGCCCUGCUUUUGUUGGGUGCUCGAGUGGCGAACGGGUGAGUAACACGUGAGUAACCUGCCCUUGACUUUGGUAUAACUUCAGGACACUGGGGCUAAUACCGGAUAGGAGCUCCUGCGGCAUGGUGGGGGUUGGACAGUUUCGGCGGUUGGGGAUGGACUCGCGGCUUAUCAGCUUGUUGGUGGGGUAGUGGCUUACCAAGGCUUUGACGGGUAGCCGGCCUGAGUGGGUGACCGGCCACAUUGGGACUGAGAUACGGCCCAGACUCCUACGGGAGGGAGCAGUGGGGAAUAUUGCACAAUGGGCGGAAGCCUGAUGCAGCGACGCCGCGUGCGGGAUGACGGCCUUCGGGUUGUAAACCGCUUUCGCCUGUGACGAAGCGUGAGUGACGGUAAUGGGUAAAGAAGCACCGGCUAACUACGUG